GAUGAACGCUGGCGGCGUGCUUAACACAUGCAAGUCGAACGAAGCACUUAUCUUUGAUUCUUCGGAUGAAGAGGUUUGUGACUGAGUGGCGGACGGGUGAGUAACGCGUGGGUAACCUGCCUCAUACAGGGGGAUAACAGUUAGAAAUGACUGCUAAUACCGCAUAAGACCACAGAGCCGCAUGGCUCGGUAGGAAAAACUCCGGUGGUAUGAGAUGGACCCGCGUCUGAUUAGGUAGUUGGUGGGGUAACGGCCUACCAAGCCAACGAUCAGUAGCCGACCUGAGAGGGUGACCGGCCACAUUGGGACUGAGACACGGCCCAAACUCCUACGGGAGGCAGCAGUGGGGAAUAUUGCACAAUGGGGGAAACCCUGAUGCAGCGACGCCGCGUGAGCGAAGAAGUAUUUCGGUAUGUAAAGCUCUAUCAGCAGGGAAGAAAAUGACGG
rnacentral:rRNA from 1 species